GACGAUCGCUGGCGGCAUGCCUAAUACAUGCAAGUCGAGCGAGCAGAUGAAGUGCUUGCACUUCUGACGUUAGCGGCGAACGGGUGAGUAACACGUAAGGAAUCUACCUAUAAGCGGGGGAUAACAUUCGGAAACGGGUGCUAAUACCACAUAAUAUCUUCUUCCGCAUGGAAGAAGAUUGAGAGACGGCUCUGCUGUCACUUAUAGAUGACCUUGCGGUGCAUUAGUUAGUUGGUGGGGUAAUGGCCUACCAAGACGAUGAUGCAUAGCCGAGCUGAGAGGGUGAUCGGCCACAUUGGGACUGAGACACGGCCCAAACUCCUACGGGAGGCAGCAGUAGGGAAUCUUCCGCAAUGGGCGAAAGCCUGACGGAGCAAUGCCGCGUGAGUGAAGAAGGCCUUCGGGUCGUAAAACUCUGUUAUAAGAGAAGAACAAAUUGUAGAGUAACUGCUACAGUCUUGACGGUAUCUUAUCAGAAAGCCACGGCUAACUACGUGCCAGCCGCCGCAGUAA
rnacentral:rRNA from 1 species